rnacentral:rRNA from 1 species
GUAGGGAAUCUUCCACAAUGGACGAAAGUCUGAUGGAGCAACGCCGCGUGAGUGAAGAAGGUUUUAGGAUCGUAAAACUCUGUUGUUGGAGAAGAACAGGGACUAGAGUAACUGUUAGUCCUUUGACGGUAUCCAACCAGAAAGCCACGGCUAACUACGUGCCAGCAGCCGCGGUAAUACGUAGGUGGCAAGCGUUGUCCGGAUUUAUUGGGCGUAAAGCGAGCGCAGGCGGUUUUUUAAGUCUGAUGUGAAAGCCUUCGGCUUAACCGAAGAAGUGCAUUAGAAACUGGGAAACUUGAGUGCAGAAGAGGACAGUGGAACUCCAUGUGUAGCGGUGAAAUGCGUAGAUAUAUGGAAGAACACCAGUGGCGAAGGCGGCUGUCUGGUCUGUAACUGACGCUGAGGCUCGAAAGUAUGGGGAGCGAACAGGAUUAGAAACCCUUGUAGUCC